AGAAAAAACUUCCAGCUGAAGAGGACACCGGUGGCGAGUUUUGGCAAAAAGGAGGUGGCAGAAAUUUAAGGCUGCAAGAUCCAAGAUGGCCUCACUCACAUGUCUUGCAGUUGAUGAGGGCUGCUGGCUUGGGCAUCUCCUUUGUCCUCCAGGAGGCUUUUCAUCCUCCAGUAGGUGACCUCAUCGCUCUUCCCAGCAUCCCUGGAGGAAGGUGGCACUGGCUCUG